GCCGCCCGAGGGCCCGCCCGAGCCCGCCGCGCCGCAGACCAGCGCCUGCUGAAGCCCGCCCGCCUGCCUUCCCCGAGGUGCCUGGGAGGAUGCGAGACUGACGGGCUCCCCAUAGCUGCUGGAAGGGAGGCGAGGGGGAGCCACGCUGCGCGCCACGCCGGCUGAGCGCGGCUAGUUCCCAGGCAAGGGGCUGGUGUGCGCGCCCUGCAGCUUUCCCAGGACUGAAAGAAUCGCUGUUUACACAAAGAGUCCACUUUAUUUCCCUGCUAGAGGCGUUCUUUCUAACCCCCCUGGAGCGGGGCUUGAUUCAGAGUUGUCUAUUCCCAGCUUGAAAAAGCUCAAAUUCUACAUUUUUUUUAAAAAAAAAAAGUGUGUGUCUGUGUGUGUGUGUGUGUGUAGAAAACAAAAUGUGGCAGUGUAUUUCUUUCUUAGCAGUGAAAGGAAUUUUUUAAGAUUGUAUUGCUGCAGAGCAGCUUUUCAUUUGCAGCUGAUAGGGAAGCCCUGCAAGUAAAGCACUUGAAUGGGCCUAGUUUUAAAUCUAGCCUUCGCUGAGAGAGAUUCUGCCACGCAACUUAGGUUAGAAGGAAUCCUAUUUAAUGACAGGUUCAGCUGUAAGAAAAUACUCUUAUCAUAAGCUCCAUAUUAUUUCUUGUGCCAGUGCAAACAUGGGGCAUUGAUAAAUAUAUUUAUUUAUUGAAACUUGAAACUUUUGGAUGUCACCUAAACCUUAUUUUUAUAGCACAUGCAUACUAGUGGGAGAAAUUAGCUUGACAGAAAAGCUGCAUUUAUGCCUUUUCUUUUACUGUGUACAUUCCAGUUCUGCUUGCUCUUUAUUGGGUUCAGUAACAAUUCAGUGCUGUCCAAAAAAGGGCUCAGAAGAUUAGGGUUUUUUUAGCUCUGUUAUUAUGGUAACUCCAUUGCAUUAUGUUUGACUAAAUCAUAGAAACAUAAUGGAGAGCUAGAUUUAUUUUUUCAGAAGAAAUAUGUAAAUAAUAUUUUCUUGUUCUAUUUUAUUCUACAGACAUUUUUCUAGUUGUCUAGGGAGGGGAAGGGUCAAAAGUCAGAAUAUGAAAUGUAUUUCUGGAUGGAAAGAGUCCAGUGUGAUUUAUUUAUUUUUGCUUAGAUUUUACUUCUAAGGAGUAGAAAAGGAAUGGUUUCCUCUGUUUAGACUUAAUUCUUGCUAUUUUUGGGAUGUUCUGGAUAAAUAGCAAAGACCAUGUUAUGAGCAGUUUUGCUUUUUUUACUACAAUUUGCAUGUUUUGAACAGUUCUGCAAAUCAAGGUUUAUUAAGUCCUGUGGCUUGAUACAAUUACGUUUUGACUUAAGCAUAAACUCCGAAGGUCCACUCAACGAGAAACCCUGUCUGGACUAAGGCCCUGAUCCUGGAUCUGCCCAUACUCAGCACAAGCAGAUCCACUUGUAGGAUGGGGCCCAGCAUUGUCUUUGAAAAAUCACCACUUAAGUGAUUUGGAGCCAAGAUUACAUCAUCUCAUGACCUCAAGCAAGCGGGACCUCUGUCUUACCUGGACUCUGCAAGAUUGCAUCUGUUCAGUCCCCUCAAACACUCCUGGUGCAUUAGAGCACUACUAACUCAGAACAUUUUGUUCUAGUUCCUGACUCAUAACUAAUACAGCACCCAGGAGUCCUUGGAGGCUGCUUGUGGUAAGCAGUAUGGUACUCUGUAUUCCAGUAUGUUGGGAAUAUAUUAAUGAUAUAUUAAUAAUAUUGAUGUGAUGUGCUAUUUUGAAAUAUCAUUUUGGGGAAGGAAACCAUCUGCAAAAAAUAGCCACGAAAUAAUCUUUGACUUGUCUUUCUGUCUUUUCUCUGGCACACUUGACAAUCAAUUUUAGUGAACGUUUUCUGUAUUGGGUGCAAAUACAGAAAUAUUUAGUCAGGAGCUUGUGUUGCUCAUUUAAAUGUUUACCAAACUUCCCUGGAAAGUCUGCCCUUCCUAGCCUUGUGACUGGUAAUUUCACAGUCUAUUUAUUUAUAGCCAUGGUAACCACCACACAAAUGAAAUCAAGUGAGGUUUCUGAGUUUGGAUAGAACCAGCUGAAGCAGAACUCUUUGAUCUGCAGUUAAGAGAAAUAUGUAGUAAGGACAAACUCCAAAAGGGUGUGCUCUCCCGACUUAAUUAAAAAAAAAAUAGCAAAUCUCCAGUUGAAGAUUGGCUAGAGAAAAACAAGCUUUUCCUCGUCCCUUGGGUGUUCCUGUGUAUUUAAAAGAUUUGAAGUAUCUGGCUUUAUUAAUGCCACCACCCAUUGAAAAAUCAUCUCUAGGGAACUACUGACUUGCAAAUAGUGGGUAUUAUGAAGACAUGUUUAGGGUAUUUCUGGCAUAUGAAGAACCAGUUUGAGCUGUCUUUCUCGUCCUUAAUAUUGUAUUGAUGAAGUGAUCGAGUUUCACAUGUGCUGCUUAAGAAUAGGCAGGUUUGCAUGAUGUGAUGAGAGGAAAUCGAAGGGUUAUAGUCAACUGAAAUUCUGUGCCUUCCCUGACUAAAUUGAGAAACAGGCCCAGCAGUCGGGCAGGGAGAAAUCAUUCCCUCCUAGGCAGUUGUAGGGUUCGUGUGAGGACGAAGAGCUUAAGCGAUGGAGCCUCCUCAAGUGUAGCUGCAUCGCAACUGUAUGUGUUGGGUCUAAGCAUUUCCGCUGCUCCAGCUUUCUGAAGUCUGCCUCUCUCAGCCUGCAGUCGCUUCCCAUUCAGGCUCACCUGAACUCUCACCAGUUUGGAGUGCGAGCGCUCUCACUUCUGCUGGUUUGGGAGCCGGGUGAGGAACAGAAGGAGGAAGGAACCAGCUGCUGCUGGACAAGCUCUGGUUCGUGGGCGGGGUGUCAGUUGCCGUGCUCACUCUGAAAUGUCUUCCUGGGCUGAAAAAGCUACCUGCGUUAGAAUGGGAACAUCCCUGCUGUCAACCUGAGAGUCACACUGCUGCUGCUGAGCUGGCUGGAGUCUGACUCUGUCCAGAAGGGAACAGGUUUGGGCAGGCACAUGCCAGAAAUACUGAUGUAUUUUGGAAAGGCAAAGUGGAGGAAGGUAUUUUGGGUUGCGUGUGGCUCCCUAAGCCUACUUCAGUGACCCAGCCGUUACGGGUUUGGUGCUAUGGAAGUGAUAGGCUGGAUAGAGCCCUGAAAGUUCUUUAUCGUAUGGGGGGAAAAAUCUAUCGUUAGCCUCAACAGAGCUUCAAGUUGAAAAGUUUAACUGCUACUUGAGUCCAUUCCAAGGCACAGUAUCACUUUACCUACAAGCAAAAGGGGAUCAAAGCAUUCCCUCUGGAUAGCCACUAGCAGCCCCGCCACCACAGUGCUGUUCAAAAGCAAAAGGGUACACAAAAAUCAGUGGUGUAGAACCUAGAAUCCCAAACUAUGUUCUUCCAUGUAGCUGGACCAUUGGAAUCCAUGCAUUCAAACCCAAACGUUAAGAAAAGUAGUUCGUACACCUAAGCAACGCAUCCCAGAUUUCACUUUGAAGCUGCUUUGUUCAGCCAUCCAUGGAUGGUGGUGGAUUUUCCCCCCAGUUAUUCUAAGCUGUAUUUUUUGUACCUCCGUACUUGUCUUGUUAAAUUCACUAAUUGAGAACCUCCAUGCAAGAAGGGAUUUGGAAAUGUGAACAGUUAUGUUUUGGAGUUGGUUGAAUGAGAAAUUUGAGAUUUUUUUCCCCCUAAAAAUAACUAAUUUGUUUGGAUUCAAUAACACUUCAGGGUUUCUGCUUCUGGUGGAGUUUUGGAAUUUGUGUGUGUAAAUUUCUAUUCUGCUAGUGUAUCUUAAGCAGAACUAACCAAUUUGGUUGCAUUCUGACUGCAAAUUCUCUAUUUUCGUUAGAACACACUACCCAAGCUAAUUUUUGACAGAUUGGCUUUCAAACAUGGUAAACUAAACUACAGGGCUUAAUAAAAAUGCAACUGGGGAUUAUAUCGGUUUUUUUUUAUAAUGCUGUUCCAGAUUAUGUAAUAUUAGAAUGAAAAUAAUUAGUCAAAGUGGAAAAUAUUGGUUGAUAAAUUGCACUUGAUUAAAUGUAAAACAGUUUUUAUUUAGUUAUGUGUAGGAGAUACUGUACAUUUUAUAAUUGACUUGAGUGGUAAAUCCAUGUUUACAAGUAUACUCCUGGUUCCUACUGAGUGAUGGUAGCCAGUAGUUUUUUUAAAGAAACUGGAGAUUAAAACAUACUGCAAUCAGUAAAAUAGAGGUCUCAAGCCUGCUACCAUUGACAGCACUGGGAGCCUUGUUAGGGACUCAAACAGGAUCAAGUUUGGAUUUUGGUCUGUUUUACAUGCUUAAGACAGAAAGGCGACUUGCCUUUUGCUCUAUUUUUGUGCACCUGUGUGUCAUAUAAUAAAUUAGAAAUAUACUGAUCAGUUUGUAAUACUAGCGCCUCUCUAGAGAUUGCAGUUUGUUGGGAAUAUUUUUUAAUGGAGGGCUAGACAUUUUGGAAUGUAAUUUUCAUCCGUGUGCUGGAAUUGUUUACAUGCAAAGAGAUUACAUAUUUAAUUUUUGUAAUCUGCCAUGUGCAAUUUUGUACAUGCAUUUUAAACUAAAAGAAGCUUAUAAGGAAGAUACGGUCUGUAGAGGACUUGGCCAUGAGUAUUAUUUCUUUGAUACAAAUCUGAAAAAAAUAAAAUUUCUUUAUAUUCA